CUCCUACGGGAGGCAGCAGUGGGGAAUAUUGGACAAUGGACCAAAAGUCUGAUCCAGCAAUUCUGUGUGCACGAUGAAGGUCUUCGGAUUGUAAAGUGCUUUCAGGUGGGAAGAAGAAAGUGACGGUACCACCAGAAGAAGCGACGGCUAAAUACGUGCCAGCAGCCGCGGUAAUACGUAUGUCGCAAGCGUUAUCCGGAAUUAUUGGGCGUAAAGCGAGUCUAGGCGGCUUGUUAAGUCAGAUGUGAAAAUGCGGGGCUCAACUCCGUAUUGCGUUUGAAACUGGCAGGCUAGAGUACUGGAGAGGUGGGCGGAACUACAAGUGUAGAGGUGAAAUUCGUAGAUAUUUGUAGGAAUGCCGAUAGUGAAGACAGCUCACUGGACAGAUACUGACGCUAAAGCUCGAAAGCGUGGGGAGCGAACAGGAUUAGAUACCCUGGUAGUCCACGCCGUAAACGAUGUUCACUGGGUGUAGGGGGUCGAACCUCUGUGCCGAAGCUAACGCGAUAA
rnacentral:rRNA from 1 species